rnacentral:siRNA from 1 species
AUGCAGAAGAGAGUGAUGACUAAA